UUUUUGUGUAUCUACUAUAUAUUUUCACUUUGUGGUUACCAUGAGGCUUACAUAAAACAUUCUUGUCAUAACUAUCUAUUUUAAUCUGAUAAAUACUUAACAUCAAUUGCAUACAGAAAAUUUACAGUUUUAUUCCCCUGAUACAUUUUAUGUCAUUGAUGUCAGAUUUUACUUCUUUUUAUGUUGUGAAUCCAUUGACACAUUUUUGUGGUUAUAAUUAUUCUUAUUACUUUUGUCUUUUAAAUUUUAUACCUGGGUUAAAAAAAGAUAUUUGCCACCAUUACAUUAUUACAUUAUUCUGUUUUUGCCUAUAUAGGUAUCUUCACCAGUGAGAUUUAUAUUUCCAUAUGCUUUUGUGUUGCUGUUUAUUGUCUUUUUAUAUCAACUUGAAAAACUGUUUGACACUUCUUGUAAUUUAGGUGUUAUGGUAACAAAUUCCCUCAGUAUUUCUUUGUCUGAGAAAGUCUUUAUUCUUCAUUUUUAAAGAACAGAUUUGCUACGUAUAGCAUCUGUGGUUGGCAGUUUGAAAAAUAUUUCUUUUUAGAAAUUUGAAUAUAUAAUCACUAUCUUCUGGCCAGAAAGGUUUCUGCUGAGAUUUCUGCUAAUAGCCGUAUGGAAUUUCCCUUUUACUUAAUGAAUUGCUUUUCUCUUGCUAAUUUCAAAUUUUUUUUUUACCCUUGACUUUUGACAAUAUAAUUACGUGUCUCCAUGUAGACCUCUUUAGGCUUAAUCUAAAAUUUAUUUAAACUUCAAGAAUCUAAAUGUCCAUUUACAUCCCAAUAUUUGAGAAGUUUUCAGCCAAAAUUUCUUUACAUAAGCUUUUUGCUCCUUUCUCUUUGUAUGCUCCUUCUGCAUUGCCAUAGUGCAUAUAUUGGUGUUAUUGAUUAUAUCCCAUACAUCCCACAGGCUUUCUUGACUCUUUUUCAUUAAUUUUGCAACUUUGACUAGAUAAUUCUAUACAAUCUAUCUUCAAGUUCACUGAUUCUUUCCUCUGAUUGAUUGAACUUCUGUUGAAGUUCUUUAUUUAAUUUUUUAGGUCAGUUAUUGUAUUUUCAGCACCGGAAUUUCUAUUUGGUUCUUUUAAUUGUUUUUUUCUCUUUUCUUGUUUUUCUUUUUUUUUUUUUUUUUUUUAACCUCUAUGGUUUGAUUCUGGGUAGGCUUUUUUUUGAGCUUCUAAUUUUGUUGAUUUAUUGCUUUCCUGAUUUAUUUAGCUAUCUAUCUCUGUUUCUUAGUAGCAUAAUGAGCUCCUUCAACACAAUUAUUUUGAAUUCAUUGUCAGGCAUUGCACAGGUCUCAUUUUCUGUAGGGUUGAUAUAUUAGAGUUUUAUUUUUAUUUUUUAUUUAUUUGGUGAUGUCAUGUUUUCCUGAUUCUUUAUAAUGCCUGUAGCCUGCAUUAGUAUCUGUUAAUUUAAGGAAGAAUUUAGCUCUUCUGGUCUAUACAGACUGGCUAAAGUCCUUCACUAGUCAGUGUAGUCAGUGUGACCAAAUAGUCUGGGUGCCUAUUGAAGUGGUCAACAGACAGCUCUGGAUUCACAGCUGGCCUCUGUGGGUGGGUAUGCUCAGUUCUAAGGUCUGUGCAUCAGCAGGCAUGUUGUUAGGGUCCCAGGGAGGUGGGGAAGGGACUGUUAUCACGGGUCACAAGAUGGCUGUCAAGGUCCCCAAAUUGAUUAUCAAGACUACUAUCCCUUUUUGUCUUUAGCUGUCCCCAGGUUAUCAAGCCAUAUUGAUUCCCUCAAUGUUCUGUGUGUUGUGUGAUAUAGGCAAGCUAGUCAGGUGUGCCCCAAAAGACUAGGGAGGUCAGAUGCUCACUUCAUUCUCUUUUUCUCCAUAGGACAACUUGCAGGCUGAGGUGCUCUCUGUGUCCUGACAUGUCAGAUUUGGGAAAUGAGUGAAGCAGAUUUACAGAUUUGCUUACUUUGGUUAAAGAACUUUACAUGUACUUCUAUCAAAACCUGAAUAUUGGCUGGGCAUGGUGGCACUUGCCUGUAGUCCCAGCUACUUGGGAGGCUGAGGCACAAGAAUUGCUUGAACCCAGGAGGCAGAGCGUGCAGUAAGCCGAGAUCCCGCCACUGCACUCCAGCCUGGGCUACAGAGUGAGACUCCAUCUCAAAAACAAACAAACAAAAAAACAAACAAACAAAAACAACACCCACAUAUCCAUUCAUUCUUUCUCUUUUAAUAAAG
rnacentral:lncRNA from 1 species